GGUGUUUGAAGUAGCAGUUUGGAGCGAUCUUUUAUGUCUCCUCCAAUGUGGUAAGGCAGUCCACAGUUUGCAAAUGACACGAAUGGUCCACGUUCAAACAUGAUGAUUUCAGCGUCUUCACUCAGACGACGAGCACGCGCAGCAGCGGAAGCGCCACCAGCAACCCCAC
rnacentral:antisense_RNA from 1 species